rnacentral:rRNA from 1 species
CGUCCCGUCUGCCCCUUUUAAACACAAUAUAGUACAAAAGUAGUAUUAUUAUAAUCUAAUAAAACUUUCAACAACGGAUCUCUUGGCUCUCGCAUCGAUGAAGAACGCAGCGAAAUGCGAUAAGUAAUGUGAAUUGCAGAAUUCAGUGAAUCAUCGAAUCUUUGAACGCACCUUGCGCUCUAUGGUAUUCCGUAGAGCAUGCCUGUUUGAGUGUCAUGAAAACAAUCAACCUGACUUUGGGUAAAUCCUUGGUCAGGCUUGGAUAUGGGUGUUUGCUGUUGUCAAUGAUGGCUCACCUUAAAUUUAUUAGCUGGACUUGUUUUUGCAAACUGGUUUGACUUGGCGUAAUAAGUAUUUCGCUGAGGACAUCUUUCGAGGUGGCCAAUCUGCUCAACGACUGUCUGCUUUCUAACACCAUGUUCUCCUCCGAGAGACUCUUUAUUAUUUGGCCUCAAAUCAGGUAGGACUACCCGCUGAACUUAA